GUUGAUACUGUUGAGAAGUGCAGUCAGAAUAACCCAUAAGGCACAAGCUGUUACAUGCUUGGCGGCUAAGUGGCACGUGUGUGCAACAAUAGACUCUUUUGAAGCAGUUGAGGGUGAAACUCCUCCAAUUUCUCAAAUAACCAGCAACCAAGUUUUCCCUGUGACUUCCGAAGGGUCGUCUGAUGCUGAUGAUGUUGGAGAUGAGGAAGAUGAGCUCGACAACACGAAAUUCGUCCACUCAUAUGCAUAUAGCACAAUUUCAUUCCAGAAAAGGCAGGCACUAGUGACAUAUUUUGAGCAUAACAGAGCAGGAAUCACUCUAUAUGGCUUUAUGCUGGAUAGAUCAUAUCUUCACACUAUUUUUGGUAUGGAACUAGCUCUGGUCCUCUGGUUGCUUGGAAAAACUAUUGCUUCUAUUGCUUGAAUCAUUGGGUAUUGAUCAUUGUUACGUUCCUCGGACUCUUCAAUAAUGAUGCUGCACUUGUGUCUGAUCCUUCAAAACGGACUACUUUUAGAUGAUUCAACACGCAUUCUAUGACAUUUUCGAAGAGUUUGAUCAACUUUUGGUUGAAUUGAGAAGGGUUCUGUUAUUGCUUGUGCUGUUGUUUAGAGUGUAAUAUAUUAUGUAUUCAGUCAGAAAUUAAGAUGCUUGUGUGGAAUAUGAGGGUGAAUAUGUAUAGAGCUAUUUUGUUUAUUCAAUUUUGUAUUAUAUUAUACUGGAUCUAUAAGAGGUAAAAUGAUGUUAUUUACUUUGUAUAU
rnacentral:misc_RNA from 1 species